GACGAACGCUGGCGGCGUGCUUAACACAUGCAAGUCGAACGGAAAGGCCCUGCUUUUGUGGGGUGCUCGAGUGGCGAACGGGUGAGUAACACGUGAGUAACCUGCCCUUGACUUUGGGAUAACUUCAGGAAACUGGGGCUAAUACCGGAUAGGAGCUCCUGCUGCAUGGUGGGGGUUGGAAAGUUUCGGCGGUUGGGGAUGGACUCGCGGCUUAUCAGCUUGUUGGUGGGGUAGUGGCUUACCAAGGCUUUGACGGGUAGCCGGCCUGAGAGGGUGACCGGCAACAUUGGGACUAGGAUAGGGACCAGCCUCCUACGGGAGGCAGCAGUGGGGAGUAUAGGACAGUGGGCGGAAGCCUGAUGAAGCAACGCCGGGUGCGGGAUGACGGCCUUCGGGUUGUAAACCGCUUUCACCUAAGACGAAGCGUGAGUGAAGGUAAUAGGUAAAGAAGCACCGGCUAACUACGUG
rnacentral:rRNA from 1 species